rnacentral:rRNA from 1 species
AACGCUUGAAUACAUUAGCAUGGAAUAAUGGAUAGGACGUUGUACCUAUUUUGUUGGUUUCUAGGAUUGACGUAAUGAUUAAUAGGGAUAGUUGGGGGCAUUAGUAUUCAAUUGUCAGAGGUGAAAUUCUUGGAUUUAUUGAAGACUAACUACUGCGAAAGCAUUUGCCAAGGAUGUUUUCAUUAAUCAAGAACGAAAGUUAGGGGAUCGAAGACGAUCAGAUACCGUCGUAGUCUUAACCAUAAACUAUGCCGACUAGGGAUCGGAUGAUGUUAAUUUUUUAAUGACUCAUUCGGCGCCUUACG